rnacentral:rRNA from 1 species
GACGAACGCUGGCGGCGUGCUUAACACAUGCAAGUCGAACGGAAAGGCCCGUUUGGGGGUCCUCGGGUGGCGAACGGGUGAGUAACACGUGAGUAACCUGCCCUUGACUCCGGGAUAACUUUAGGAAACUGGGGCUAAUACUGGAUAGGAAUCCUUUCUGCACGGUGGGGGUUGGAAAGCUUCGGCGGGUUUGGAUGGACUGGCGGCUUAUCCGCUUGUUGGAGGGGUAGUGGCUUACCAAGGCUUUGACGGGUAGCCGGCCUGAGAGGGCGACCGGCCACAUUGGGACUGAGAUACGGCCCAGGCUCCUACGCGAGGCAGAAGUGGGGAAUAUUGCACGAGGGGCGGAGGCCUGAUGCUGAAGCGCCGCGUGCGGGAUGACGGUGUUCGGGUUGGAAACCGAUUUCAGCAGGAGCGAAGCUUGUGGUGACGGUACCUGCAGAAGAAGCACCGGCUAACUACGUG